CCUACGGGUGGCAGCAGUGGGGAAUAUUGCACAAUGGGGGAAACCCUGAUGCAGCGACGCCGCGUGAGUGAAGAAGUAUCUCGGUACGUAAAGCUCUAUCAGCCGGGAAGAAAAUGACGGUACCUGACUACGAAGCCCCGGCUAACUACGUGCCAGCAGCCGCGGUAAUACGUAGGGGGCAAGCGUGAUCCGGAUUUAAUGGGUGUAAAGGGGGCGUAGGCGGCAGCACAAGUCUGGAGUGAAAGCCCGGGGCUAAACCCCGGAACUGCCUUGGAAACUGUGCGGCUGGAGUGCAGGAGGGGUAAGCGGAAUUCCGAGUGUAGCGGUGAAAUGCGUAGAUAUUAGGAGGAACACCGGUGGCGAAGGCGGCUUACUGGACUGUAACUGACGUUGAGGCUCGAAAGCGUGGGGAGCAAACAGGAUUAGAUACCCGUGUAGUC
rnacentral:rRNA from 1 species